AUGAUAUUAUAAUUUUAGGUGGUGGUGGACGGCGGAGCUUAGUUGUUAUUCCUCCAGAUCUCCAUGGAUACAAUGGCCAGCAACUAAAAGCAGUGAGCGGGAAUGGAAAAUACACAUUGUACAUUUCUCCUUUAGAAGAAGAACUCGAUACUAUUCCAUUACCACUGGAAGCCAAGGAGUUUGAGAACAUGCCCAAAGCCCAAUGUACAACCUGCAAGAUAAUGGUUCCUCUUCAGAUCCUCCCAGCACAUAUCAAGGAAUGCAAGAUAGAAUUGUUAGAUUUGUCCUCUUCUGCGGAUGAGGAAAGCUGCAGCAAAGAACAUGAAGAUACAUUCCAACAUUCCAUUUGCAGCACGGCAGACAAGACAGCAGAAUGUCCUGUGUGCAACAAUGCAUUUCAAGCUGACAUAAUUGAAAUCCAUGCAGCCACAUGUGGAUUACGGUAAUAUUAUUGAUUCUACUGUAUUUAUUUUCAUGUAUAUCCAUGUUCAUUUAACAAAUUACAUCGAAGGAUCACUUUGCCAGUUUUCAUAUG